UUUCCUGGAGACAAAGACCAGCGUUGGUCCCUGGUGGAGACCGCUGCUCAGUGGAUAGCUUCCAGGCUAGAGGGUCCCAGUUUGGGGGCAUCCUGGGUUGAACCCAUGCUCUGUUCAUGGCACUUGAAGGCAAUGGAACUGGCUUGGCUAAUUUCCAGGGGAAACUGUACAGAAUGAAUGUUGGGAAUGGGACUUUCCAUGACUUCAAGAUGCCUUCUGAGAGCCUCCAAGACUCAGUCCCAGGACCAUGGGCUGGGGGUAGGGCAUGUGCUCCUGCAGUGUGGUGAGCUGUGGAAUCAUAUACAUGGGCAUGGUCAGGGACCAGGGGCAGGGCUGAGGCCUUUCUACCUUUCCCCCCUCAGGCCCUACUUUGAAACAGGGAAGGAUAAGAGGGAAGAAAGUUCCCUUUGGGCCUUUGGGUAGAAACCAAGGCCCUCUCUUUCUGCUCUGGUAGCCUGGCAGGGCAUUUCUCUAGGGGAUGACCCCAAUCUGGCCUUGGCAGGCACCCCCUCCCCCAGCCACAGCCCCCUAUUCCCUGACCUCUGUCCUAUGAGGAACUCUGAUUCUUGGUGCCAGCAUCACUUCCUGGGUCACAAUAGGCUUCAGGCCUCAUGAGGUACCCCUCUUCUGGGCUACCUCCUUUUUUCAGUGCUCCCCUUGAGCCUGAGGACAAUAGCUCUGGACCUCACCUACCUCUUCAUAUCAUCAUGGCUCGGAGCCACUGAGCGCUGUGCGGAAGCCUCUAGAGAAGCCAUCCAAGAAUGAGGCAGCAGCAGAAGCAGGCGAGUGAAAGAUGGUGAUGGGUGGCAGGCAGAAGCAGAGGAUCGGAAGGUUGUGUGUGUGCCUGCAAUUAUGCAUGCAUGCCUGUGGGUGAGCACAUUCAUGUGAGCUGAGCACAGCACAUGUCAAGGCCUGCAACCAAAUGCUCUAAGGGUCCUGAGCCCUAUUGGGGUGGCAUCUAUUGCCCCUUGGUGGAGGAAGCCUGCUGACUAUGCUGAGUGGCUAGCCAAGAUUGCCAGCUGACCCUCAACAGCUUCAUCAUUCCCCAGAUCCUGCACAAGACUCAGUGGCCUCCACACUAAGGCAGGAGUCACCCUUGAUCUCCCUAGUAAUGGGAAGACAGCCAGAGUUUCUCAAGACAGGUCCUGAUGAAGGGAUACUGCAUGAAAUAUCAACGAGGCCUCUUGUCUGUCAAGGUCAUCAAAAACAAGGGCAUUAUGAGGAAAUGCCAUAGCCCAUAGGAGCUGGAGGAGAUGUGAUAACUAAGGACAGAACAUGGAAAUUAGAGUUGAUAGAAGUAAUUUUGGGGAAUCUGAAGAUGUAAUUCAACAGCAGAAAGCUUGCUAAACAUGUGUGAGACCAAAGCUUUCAUCAAAUACCACAAAAAGAUACCAGAGAAGGAUGGCAGCAGCAAACAUGCAGAGACACAGCCAUAGCAAGAGACAUUCUGGGGCUGAAGCCUUCAGAGCCCCGCCCUUCUGAUAUUCACCCUUCGGAGGUUUGCUUCCUGGUGGGCUCAUCCCCUGAAGUCGGUUGCCACCUGCUAAUCUUCUGGCAUGGUCGCCGCAUUCGAGACCUCCCGACUCCAUUGUGCCUCCUCCUACAGGAAGCCUCCUCUGAAUGCAUCUCCUCCAUGUCCCUCAGCCUCCCAUCUGGAAAACAAUGCCUAGGACAAGUGGUAGGAUUGAUGUGACCCCACUCACCUGCUCUUCAACACUGUUGAUAAUCACCAGGUGGGCACCCAGAUCCUGGCAGGAGGUGGCCGAGGCUCCCCAGCUGCCCAGAGUCCUGGAGAAGAGGUAGCAGCUUCCCUGGAAGAGCUCCCAGUCCCAGGGGCAGGGCCGGCACAGGCCAGCUGCAGAGUGAACAGUGCAGUGGGGACCCAUGAGCCUGGGUUCUCUUCUCCCCUCUGCCUUGGGCCUUAGAGCCCAGGGCUGCGCUUCUAUUUCAGCUACCAACCCAGUGCUCCCAAAACCCAGACCACAAUCCCUGUGCUCUAUCCUGCCUGCCUCGGUGGAAGCCCAGAAGGCAGAUGCCGAACCCACUGAUGACCCCUCAGGUCCCCCCUAACUCAGGCCCUGGAGCCUCACCCAGCGAGGCAUUGAUCUGAGUCAGCUGCUGCUGGAUCUGCUCCAAGCUGGAGUGUGUCUGCCCAUGAGGAACAGCAACUACAAGAAGAGGUUUGCAACAAUUAAGCACCAGCUGUGUGCCUGGUGCAGAGCUGGACCCACAAGAUCACUGUUGGUGGUCACAGUGACCCCAGGAGCCCAUUUCACAGGCCAGGACACUGAGUCUCAGACCCUGUUAGUCCCAACACUGCAGGACACAGGACCUGACACAGGUCCAUGGCCUCCCACAUCCUGCCACACCCCCAGCAAGCCUGUGCCCAUGCUUGCCCACCUCACACAGCCCCAGAGUCCUCUCCCCCUCAGGGCCCCAGGUGCCCCUCACCCAAGCUGGAGCUCCCCUGCUGACCUGGGGUCUGUCCCUGUGGGGAUGCAUGAACCCUGGAAACUGCAAGAGAGAAAGCAGGGCACACCCACAGCCUCUGUGAGCACUGAUGGUGCCUGGCUGUGCCGAGUUCAGCUCCAAGGGGAAGAUGGGCCCCAUUUCAGAGAGGGACAGUCAGCUGUCCCCGGUCACAGAUGAAGUGAGGACUGUGCGGCUCAGAUGUCCCACCUCUGAUGAAUUUGGGGGCUCGGCAAGGGUCAUCCCAGAGGGAAAAUCUAAAAGCUCAGUUAGUGUCCCAUGCUGGAGUUCUUGUUUAACAAUCGCAAAAAUAAAAUAGUAAACAAAGUAAAAGAAAAACAAACCAGACAACCCCCCAAAACAAACCAACCAACCACAAAACAACCUGAAAGGAUUCCACAUUCCAGUCCCCCUUCCCCAGCCCUGCCCUGACUGACCUUGAACCAGGAUGGCCAACAUCAGCACAAAGAGGCCCAAAGAGAUGAGAAGCAGGAGAAGCCAGGGCACCCGGGCCAGACAUUCUGCAGGAUGGGCAGAUGGGCAGAGCUGAGGUCCCAGGGGCAGAUCCUGCCCUGCUGUGUUCAUUCUGCAGAGGACCCCUGACACCUCUGUCCCUGAGUCACCCCAGUACCUGGCAUGCUCUUGGAGCUGCAAGUGAGACCCUCAGGGUCGUUCUCAGCACAUCCCUGCCCUCCAAAUGUGACCUCCUCCUCUGAAUGGGACAGAACACAGCAGCUGACCUCCAAAGCUCGGCCACCUCUCUCACCCCAAGCUGGAGGCCAUGCACAUAUCACCCUGGAUCCUGGACCCAGCCCCCCUGACAGUACCCAGAGGUGCCCAGCCUCACCAUGGUACUUUGGCUGCUGGGUCUCUGGCUCUCCUGCCAUCUUCUGCUUGUCUUGACUCCCCCUUUCCUCCUCCUCUCUGCCCUGGGAUUUAUAUAACCCCAUGGCCUUCUGGAGCACCCCCUGUAAAGUCCAUUCUUCUCUGACUCAGGAGG